GGAGAUUGUGAAGCCACCCUGCAAGACGAGCCCUGCCUGCCAUGCUUGCACUCAGCACUGAGAUUCUGCAGGACUCACAAGUUGUAAAUAUGUGUAUUAAGAUGUGAAUAACCACCUUCAGUGCAACUUGAAACACCACCAAGAGCUGGGAAUGGAGAGACAAGAAUAGGUCAAAGAGCAGCUUUAAUUCUG